rnacentral:rRNA from 1 species
AGGACGAACGCUGGCGGCGUGCUUAACACAUGCAAGUCGAGCGGAAAGGCCCUUCGGGGUACUCGAGCGGCGAACGGGUGAGUAACACGUGAGUAAUCUGCCCCUAGCUCUGGGAUAGCCGUCCGGGAAACCGGGAUUAAUACCGGAUACGACCACCUUAGACAUCUUUUGUGGUGGAAAGAAUUUCGGCUAGGGAUGAGCUCGCGGCCUAUCAGCUUGUUGGUGGGUAACGGCCUACCAAGGCGACGACGGUAG